UCCUGGCCUCAAAUGAUCCACCCGCCUCGGCCUCCCAAAGUGCUGGGAUAACAGGCGUGAGCCAUCACACCCGGCCUUUCCCCAGAUUUCUAAAUACCCCAUGCUUACCUGACAAUUUUUGCCAGUGUAGUGAUCUUUGUAUAUUCUUUCUCUCUCUCUCUCUUUUUUUUUUCUUACGUUAGUGUCUCUCUAACCUACUCCAGAAACUGGGAGCUCCUCUGCUGUACAGACCAAGUCUCCUCCCUCUCUCUGAACUGUUACUGAUGCUUGCUUUCUGAUUAUUGACCAUUAGAAGUCCCACCUGAGAACUAACGCUCUGGCUACAGUUGAAUCCCAUUUCCUGUUUGCUUGGAGCCUGGAAAUGUGAUAAGGCUUUGGCCAGCUAACACCGUAUUAGCUGGUUCCCAAGGCCCAUUUGGGGAUAUGAAGGAGAAAAUGACUCCUAUUACUUAAACAGUGUUUCAGAAAUGCCCCAGAGUAGAAACAAUGGUCCUUGCUGCACCGGGAUCCACUGUAACCCUCUUCUUUUGCACCCAGCAUCCUGGCCUGCCACACGGCAGUUCUAGUAAGACGUACUAUGUAAUGAGGAAUGUAACUCAAGGCCGGUCACACCAGAGACUUGUGGAAGGGCAGCCACCAGGCAGGGGACACAGAGACACCAGUCAGGUGGCCAGCUCCGUCCUCUGCUAUCUCCACAAACGGGCUAGUUUCUUUAAGGUUUUUUUCCUUGAGUCCUAAUGAAAAACAAGUUGGAACCAUGACUGGGGGCGGGGAUGGGGGCUGCAGGGCAGAGUUUACAGGCACUUGCAAUUUCUUAACGGCUCCCUCCUCACACAUUCCUCUGCAUUUUUCCCUUUUAUUAACGUGGCAUCUUUCCCAGGACACUUUAUGGGACCGUGUGUUUUCACUUAUGCCCUGAUUGGGGUUGAUCGUGUCUCUCCCUAUGAAGAGCCCUCAGAUCUCGCUCAAGGCCUCCCCUGCACCCCCUGCAAGGGUGCAGGCCAUUCUUUCGCUCUGGGGCUCCUGGGCUCAUCUCUUAACCUGUCCCCAAGGGCUCCAUUGUGUUUUCUACCACACAAGGCACUCUUCUGCCUUAGGAUCGCACCUCAUUUGGACCCCAAAUUAGACGCCCCAGUUGGCCUACUCAACUCUGAAGUGACUCCUGGCACUUGCCCCCAAAUGAAACCUGCCCCAGAGGAUGAAGAGGAAGAUUUGGCACACUGAAGAUUUUCAAAGCAAUGUGCUGGGAGCCCUGAAGGCCAUUGCCCAAGAGGAGCUCUGAACACGUUUUGAGCUACAGCAGCUCUGACAGAACACAGCUUUCCCAGGGGCCGGCUUUCAAAGGCGUGGCACGCUUUUCGGAGGGCCAAGCUUUGGCGUGUUUAUUAAAACAGACACUCAUGUUGCUUUCAGGAAUGCUGCGCUCUUAGCUCUUCUUUUCUCUUUAACUCAGUUCCGAGAGGGGCUGGGACUGAGGUUUGGAGCUUACUUGCUGUCCUUCAGCCCUGUGUUAGAAAUGUUUCCACCUACCCGCCUCCUGUUAUCCGGGAGAUUGCUCGGUUUCACUCAGACGGGAAGCGGCAGGCUUGGUGGCAGCUCUGUGGUCUUUGAAAACAUACCUGCUGGGAGUUGCAGUUUCUUCUUCUGUAAAACGGGGAAAGUAAUAUACAUUCUGCAAGGCCGUGAGAAUGACCUGGAGCGACGUCUGUAAGAGGCCUGGCAUGCUAAAGGCCUCAGUAAAUGGCCUUCUCCCACUGCAACGCUUUCUUUCUGGAAUGUCUGUGGACAAUACAACAUCAAACUCCCCACGCCUGGCUCCAGGGCAAGAAUCUCCGAGUUCUUUGGGAAAUGCAGUGCUGGGAUCGUUUUCCUGUUGUCAGCAGGCUCUGGAAGAGGCAUUAGCCCCACAAGGUUUGAUGUGGGAAGGUUUUACAGGUACUGCUCAUCUGGUGGGCAGAUGUAGCUUUGCAGCAAGAUAGAGCUCUGUCUUCCAGAUGGCAGGUGCCUAGGAGUCUUGGGGUAGAACUGGUUCCUCUCUGCUUGGAGCUAGUGUGGGCACACACAUGGGCCUGUCCCCUCCUUCAACAGCCCUGGGAUCCUUGAGCCAAGUUAGAUGGAGUGACUUUAGUCUCUGAAACUCACAUCCUGGCAAUCAGCUGACCAUACCUCCAUCAUCUCCGUUCCCCGCAGCCCAGACCUCUGCCACACCCCAACACACAGACACACACGGUGUUAUUUCCAGGGAAGAGGAGGAUAAUCCUGGCCAAUAGCAGUGGACACACUGGAGGUUUCCCCACAAAGUAAGAGUUUCAUUCAUUCCAACAUUCUCAAGGGAGUGAAACAGGAUGCAGAGGGCUUCUCAAGGUAGGGUUACCCCAGAACAUUUGAGCAUUUUCCUAAAGGAAGACGAAGGGGGGUAGUAGCCACCAGUGGCUGAGUUCUCCUCCCUUAUACAUCCCAUUGGAUAUCCCCAGUCCCUAAUUCUCCACUCCAAAGCCCUGGCUCUGCCUUGAUAGAGUGGGGAUGUGCCUGGGCCAUUAGAAGCCAUUGUCCACCCUUUUAUUGCUCGGGCUUUUUGGGGGGACCUUUAUGCAAAGUUGCUCCCAACCUCAUCACAUCUGGUCAAAGUGCUUUUAGUCACAAGGGGCAGAACUCGGUUCACAGGAACACAUAUAGAAAGUGGAUAUAGAGAUAGCUAUGAGGGAUAUGGGACUUUAAUUAAACUAAGUAACCGGCCUCAUCGUUCUCUCUCCUCCUGGGCUGCGGUCUCUUGGUUCAGCUUUUCUCUGUGCGUGACUUUGGUUUGCCUAUGGUUUUACAACAUGGCCCUAACAAGUCCUCACUGAUCAUGACAUUUUACUUGAGCUCCCUACGACCAAAAGGCUAGACUCUGCUUUUUAAUUUCAAACUCCUAAGAGAGAAAAAUUGGAUGGCUGUUUAUUGCCAACACAUUGGCUGGUCUUGGGUACUUAUUCCUGGUCUAGUUCGCCAUGGCUGAGGAGCAGAGCACGUGGUAUGAAACACAUCUAAGGCAGCAGGGGCUGAAAGUGGGAAACAACUGCUGUGGGAAGCAACCAAGCUGGUAUUCCACCCGAGGUGGACCUGAUGCACCCUCUGUGUGCUUCUGGGAUUCACCCGAGGGACAGGUAAUAGCCAUCCUCAGUGACUCUGUCUCAGUAGAGGCUGGCCUUGGAGCUCAAAGGCCAGGGAAGCAGCAGGUCCACUGAUGCAGCUGCCACCUCCACAGCGUGCUGGAGACAUGGUGACAUCCUCCUAAGAGCACUUACAGAGACAGCAUCCUGUGAAAACAGCGCUGGACUGGGAGUCGGCAGUCCUGGCUUGUGAUCCAGCUCGGCUGCUAACCCCCAUGACCCUGGGGAACUGGCCUUCUUCCUCUAGGUCUUAGGUUCUCCAGAAGUUAAAAAUGAAUUUUAAAACUAUUAUUAUUAUUAUUAAUAAACAGGGUUGAAUGAAAUCA